rnacentral:rRNA from 1 species
AACGACUCUCGGCAACGGAUAUCUCGGCUCUCGCAUCGAUGAAGAACGUAGCGAAAUGCGAUACUUGGUGUGAAUUGCAGAAUCCCGUGAACCAUCGAGUUUUUGAACGCAAGUUGCGCCCGAUGCCUGAUGGUUGAGGGCACGUCUGCCUGGGCGCCACGC